GAGGACCGGGAUGGACAUACCUCUGGUGUACCAGUUGUCGUGCCAACGGCAUAGCUGGGUAGCUAUGUGUGGACGGGAUAAGUGCUGAAAGCAUCUAAGCAUGAAGCCCCCCUCAAGAUGAGAUUUCCCAACUUCGGUUAUAAGAUCCCUCAAAGAUGAUGAGGUUAAUAGGUUCGAGGUGGAAGCAUGGUGACAUGUGGAGCUGACGAAUACUAAUCGAUCGAAGACUUAAUCAAAA
rnacentral:rRNA from 2 species